AUUGAACGCUGGCGGCAUGCUUUACACAUGCAAGUCGAACGAGUGGCGAAUGGGGGAGUAAUACAUAGGAACGUACCGAGGAAUGGGGGAUAACCAAUCGAAAGAUUGGCUAAUACCGCAUAUUAUUAGUGCGGCCGAUAACUGAUUAGCUAGUUGGUGGGGUAAAGGCCUACAAAGGCGACGAUCAGUAGCGGGUCUGAGAGGACGAGCUGCAACACUGGGAAGGAGACACGGCCCAGACUCCUACGGGAGGCAGCAGUGGGGAAUUUUGGACAAUGGGUGCAACCCUGAUGCAGCCAUGCCGCGUGUAUGAAGAAGGCCUUCGGGUUGUAAAGUACUUUUGUUAGGGAAGCGGUACCUAAAGAAUAAGCACCGGCUAACUACGUGCCAGCAGCCGCGGUAAUUC
rnacentral:rRNA from 1 species